UUCACAUCUUGGGGGUGCUGAAUUUUUUUCCUGUCCUGCUGGAGGAAAAAAAGAAGGCUGAGAUCAAACCCUUAUAACUUGAUGCAGGUAAUGCUGACGCAAGAAAAGAUUAUGAUGGCGUU
rnacentral:ncRNA from 2 species